GCUUGGAUGGAGACAUCUGUCUCGUGGGCACGCUGAGCAACUCUGCCACAAACGUUCCAUGAGGAAGCAAAGGAUUUCGAAGGCCAGUAGAAGAGGCAUCCUCAAGCUCUGGUGGUCCUCAUUGCAUCCUCUCUGUGAGACUGGAAUGUAUCCUUGAAGAACAGCACAGCAAGCUUCUUCCAUCUGGUGAAAAAGAUGGAUACCAGGCGUGUCUGAUCGUCCCAGAGGAAGAAGGGAGCAUCUUUUCCAACAGCAUUUCUGUGAGAAAUGGGAUCCUAAGGUGGCCUCCAAGAUUGACACACCAUGGUACAAUCUUCAUGAUCGUAGGAAGAACCUGUGAAUACGAUGAGCUAUCACUCCUGUGCUUAUGUGGUUUUAUAUGGCAAAGGGAGAAUGUUCUGGGUGGGCCUGACCUGAUCAGGCAAAUCCUCUAAAAUCAGAAUUUUCUCCAGCUGGUUCCAGAAGACUAAGUCAGAGAGAUGCUCUCUGUUUGGGCCAGAAGCAAGCAAACAUCCACAUUGUGAACUGCCUAUGGGGGCCACCUGGCAAGGAACUGCAGGUGUUUUCUAGGACCUGAGAGCAUUCCCUGGCCAAUCAUUAGCAGGAAAACAGGAACUCACUCCUGUAACUGUGAGGAAAUAAAAUUUACCAACAACCAAUGAGCUUGGAAGAAGACCCUGAGCCUCAAAUGAGAACUGCAGCCCCAGCCAACACUGAUUUCAGCCUUGUAAGUACCUGAGCAGAGAACUCAGCCAUGCUGUAUCAGGACUUCUGACCUACAUUACUGUAAGAUCAUAAAUGUGUUGUUUUAAGCCACUACAUUUGUGAUAGUUUGUUAUGCAGCAAUAGAAAGCUAAUACAACUUCCAAAAAUUCUACUGUGUAAGUCAGGAUCCUUUGGUUGCAAGCAACAGAAAUCAGCUCUGGAUAGCUUAAGCAAAAAGGAAAUCUGCUGGAACAGUGUUUGUAUAGCCACAGAAUAUGAGCAACUUCUGGGAUGGAUCCAAGAAGGAGAAACAAACAAGGAUUAUGUCCAGGUCUUGUUUCAUUCUGUUAAGAUUUAAAGUCCAGGGGAGAAAGCAGCUGAUUGACAUUACCUGAUAGCCUCAUCAAGAGAUUAUAGUCAGCCGGCACGGUGGCUCAUGCCUGUAAUCCCAGCACUUUGGGAGGCCAAGGCAGGCGGAUCACCUGAAGUCAGGAGUUUGAGACCAGCCUGACCAAUAUGAUGAAACCCCGUCUCUACGAAAAAUACAAAAAUUAGCUGGGCGUGGUGGUGGGUGCCUGUAAUCCCAGCUACUCAGGAGGCUGAGGCACAGAAUUGCUUGAACCUGGGAGAUGGAGGUUGCAGUGAGCCAAGAUCGCACCACUGCACUCCAGCCUGGGCGACAGAGCGAGAUUCCAUUUAAAAAAAAAAAAAAAGAGAGAUUAUAAUCGUGGAGAAUAGUUGACUCUUCAAAGCAAAAUUGAUACUAUUGCUAGAAGAUGGGGGUCUUAAUGCCAGGCCUGCAAAAACAUCCCUGCAUUAAUAUGUUCUUCCCCUAAUCAGUUACAAUGGCCAAGAAGACAGAAUACUCUAAUGGAGCAGGUCUAGUCAUGUGACCAUCCCUGAGCGCAGACAGGCUAUGGGUUAGCUCCACUUGUACUGCAUGGUCUGGCCAGGGUUAAUAUGGGGGUUGGGGGGAGGAAGGGAUGCUGGGUGUAAAUAUAAGCAUAUAAUGUCUAUUAUGGCAUCCCGUUUACUGAGAAUCAGAGCACU